rnacentral:sRNA from 1 species
UCAGAACCACUGCAGGGAUGCCGUCUGGCCC